rnacentral:rRNA from 1 species
AACGGCCGUACCAUGCUGAAUAUACCGGUUCUCGUUAGAUCACCGAAGUCAAGCAUCAUUGGGCGCGGUCAGUACUUGGGUGGGUGACCACCUGGGAACACUGCGCGCCGU